rnacentral:rRNA from 1 species
AUGAACGCUGGCGGCGUGCCUAAUACAUGCAAGUCGAGCGAACAGACGAGGAGCUUGCUCCUCUGACGUUAGCGGCGGACGGGUGAGUAACACGUGGAUAACCUACCUAUAAGACUGGGAUAACUUCGGGAAACCGGAGCUAAUACCGGAUAAUAUAUUGAACCGCAUGGUUCCAUAGUUAAAGACGGUUUUGCUGUCACUUAUAGAUGGAUCCGCGCCGCAUUAGCUAGUUGGUAAGGUAACGGCUUACCAAGGCAACGAUGCGUAGCCGACCUGAGAGGGUGAACGGCCACACUGUAACUGAGACACGGUCCAGACUCCUAAGGGAGGCAGCAGUAGGGAAUCUUCCGCAAUGGGCGAAAGCCUGACGGAGCAACGCCGCGUGAGUGAUGAAGGUCUUCGGAUCGUAAAACUCUGUUAUUAGGGAAGAACAAAUGUGUAAGUACCUAUGCACGUCUUGACGGUACCUAAUAAGAAAGCCACGGCUAACUACGUG